rnacentral:rRNA from 1 species
UACGAGGGGGCAAGCGUUGUUCGGAAUUAUUGGGCGUAAAGGGUGCGUAGGCGGUCUGAUAAGUCAUCUGUGAAAUCUAUGGGCUCAACCCAUAGUCUGCAGGCGAAACUGUCGGGCUUGAGUAUGGGAGAGGUGAGUGGAAAUUUCCGGUGUAGCGGUGAAAUGCGUAGAGUAUCGGAAGGAACACCUGUGGCGAAAGCGGCUCACUGGACCAUUACUGACGCUGAUGGCACGAAAGCUAGGGAGCAAACAGG